GGCGCUAUAGCCAAGUGGUUACGGCGACAGAUUAGAAUCGAUUCGCGAACAUGACUAUCUGUUCCUCUUUGAGGGCGCAGGUUCGAAUCCUGCUGGCGUCG